UUUUGCCCACUUGAGGGAUAGGCUCGCAGCCCUUGGAUCUGUUCUAAUGAGGUUCGACGGCUGAGAUUAAAUCAAGAUUCUGAUCCCGUUCUGACCCCAAUUCGCGAGCUCCCCAAUUCUUUCUGCCUCUCUGGCGAGCAUGGAACGCUCAGAGACCUCAAAUCAGGUAUGGCUCUUCUUCUCUUAUGGUAUUUCUUUCCAAUUCGCGAUCUCAAUUCUCAAACCCUUUCUAACCCCAAUUCGCAAGCUCCCCAAUUGUUUCUGCCUCACUGGUGAGUAUGGAACGCUCAGAGACCUCAAAUCAGUGGAGAUGGCAUAGUAUGAAGGCUUGAAAUUUAUCAAUGUGGAUCAUCCUUUUGCUGAGACGUGCUAUUGAAAACUUGUCUGCAAAGCACCUUUUCAAUGGAUUGGUUGUCGGCAAAGCACUAUCGAAAUUUGGCUGCCUCUAGAUGCUGCCAACGAUACUUUGUUUUCUAAUCUGCUUUGGUUAACUUUGUUAGUUUUGAAUCCAAGUCUGGUGUUGCCUAGUAUGGUUCAGACAUAUAGCUUGUUCUAGUGCUUCUGGUAAAGUGUACUAUCUACCAAUUUAAAUGCAGUUUGAUAUAAAGUUUGAUCAAGUAUGAAUUAUGCGUUGUUAAUUUGAUACAACAUGGCAUGAGAAUUGAUUGUUAUUAUUCUGGA